UGAAUUUCUCUCUAGCUUCAUUAUGUUAUUUGGAUAAAUUACAUUCAUCUCUCUAAUAUUUUUAAUAAUUAGAAUCGUCUCUCUUAUAAUUUUUAAAAUAGCACACAUUUCUUAUUUUUGAAACUAUUAUUUAGAUUCUCUCAUGAAGCUAGCUAAAUUUUAAAAAAAAAUGAUAAAAUUGCCUUUAAAUUUAGGAAUUCUAUUUUUUUUCUUAAUACAUCAAUUAAAAUAUUUUUUUUUAAAUACCAUUUAUUUAUAAACUACUCUAUUUUUAUUUCUUAUCAAUAAUAAAUUAAAAAAUAAAUAAUUUUUCAAAAUUCUUAUUAUCCCCCUUUAAUUUACAUAUUUUUACAAUAUAUAUACAGGAAUGCCCCUCUAAGGUUCUAAAAAACUCUUAUUAACCGUUAACGAGUAUACGAAACGUAUGGCAUGACCCCAUACUUGCAUAUUAUAUAUUAACAUAAUUCUAAUGAUUGAUUUGUAAAUCCAAUUUUUUGUUUUUUAUCUUAUUAAAAUCAUAUAGGUAAAUUAUAUUUAUAUUAAUAUAUAUAAGUUUCAUAAAAUGAUAGCACACCCUAAGGUCCAAAUUAUACAGCCAAAGAAUUGUACGGAUAACUAAAAUAAAUCUCAUAAAAAUUUGAUUAUAUUCUUGUUAAUUUUCCCCCCAUAAUUCUUAUAUUAGAUUGUACAUCCAUAAAUAUUAUAUAAUAGUGUCUUAAUUUAAUAACAUUCGAUUAUUGUAUUUAUUUAUGAUAUUUUAGUAAUUUUAGGGCUAAUUCAUACCCUCUAAAUUUGUAAUAAUUGAGGGAGUUAUUAUAAAUUCAGUCAAUUUGAUAUAUUAUAAAUUCAUAGGAUUACAUAUCCAACCUCAAAAAGUCAACAAAUAUCAUAUUAGUGGCCUCACAUGAUUUAUAUUUCAAUCCAACAUUCUUAUUUUUAAAACAAAUAUGGCCUAAAACUAUUUACAACUACCAAUCUAGAGUGAGGAAGUGAAGAAUGAAGACAUUUCAAGAAAUUUAGACAUUGUUUGGUGCAUCUUUAUUUUGAGUUUUUUUUAUAUAUUUUAAUUUUUAAAUUUUUUCGUCUUUAAUAAACGUUUUUCACUGUUUGAUGAAAAUUUUAUUCUUUUUCAUUUCUUGAGAAAUCCGAAAAUAUGUAAAUUUUUUAUUGAAAUUUAUAAAAAAAAUCAACAAAAAAAUAAAAUCAGCCAUUUUAGCAAGUAAAAAUCUAUAUAUUUUUAUUUUUAGUGAAUUAUUUUAUAUUAAAUAAAAAAUUAUAUUUUUAAACUCUUUUUAUAAAAAAAAAAGUAAUAAAAUAUAAAAAUUUAUAUCAAAUAAUUAAAAUAAUUCACUAAAAACGAAAACGCUCAAAAACCUCUACAGUAGUUGAGAAAGUCCAAACAAAGCUAGUCCCCAUAGCAAUCUUUUAAUAUUUGUAUAAGUCUGCCCAGGUGUCAAUUAUAAUGUCCCCACCAAGACCAAAUAAUUGCCGGUCCCAAAAAAUAGUGAAGUUCUGACCUCAGCAAUAUUACAAAGGGAAAUGCUAUAAAAAGUGUAAAAUAAAAGUAUAAAAAAUAUAUAAAAAUAUAUUAAAAAAUAUAAAAUAUACAUUAAAUAUUAAUUUUUUUAUUAUUAUUUUGUGCUCCUUAAUUACCGUCAUAAGGGUGGUGGUUAGCAAGACCCUAUUACAAAAUAGGAAGCCAUUCCCCUCAGCAUAGUUACUAGUUUACUCUGUAUAGGGGCGGAGAUAGGAGAGAAAUUCAGUGAGAUCAAAAUCAUAAAAUUAUGGGAUAAUAGUGUAAAUUUUUUUUUCAAUGAGAUCAAAAUAGUAUAUUUUUUGAGUAAAAGUGUAAUUUUGUGUGUAUUAAAAAUGCAAUUAUUUUAGUGGGAUCAAUUAACCCCACUUGUCUCUAUCUAGCUCCGCCCAUAACUCCAUAAUUGAUGUCCAAAAUCAUCAAUCAUGCACAUAAAUUAAAUGACAGAUUGGACAUCUUUAGUUUCCUACGUGGCAAUAAAAAAUAAAUAAUUAAAAAAAUACUAUUUUAUAAUAAUUUGAUAAUACGUAUUACUUUCUAUUUAUCUUUUAUAGAAGCAUCGAAAAAAUAAUUCUUUUUUUAUAAAAAAAAACACUAAAAUUCAAACUAAUCUAAAUAAUUUUCUCUUAAAAAUAUAUAUAAUUAAAAUGUAAAAUAGUAGGUAGGGAUGCAAACGAAUCGAGCCAAUAUAUGGAGUAUUCGAGAUUAUUUAUUAAGAUUUUAAUGAGUUCGGCUCGAGCUGAGUUUAGAAAAAAAUUAACAAUCAAGCUCGAGUCAGCUAACUUAGGCUUGAGUCGAGUUUGAGCUUAUUUAGAAGCUUUAAUGAGAUAAAUAAAUUACGCAUUCAUACUCUUAAACAAGAAAGUUUAUAAAAUUUUAUUAUAUUUAUUGAGAUUUUGUUUCCCUUAUAAACUAUCAAUUUUUUUUUCCUUAUUGCACCAAAUGUGUGAGACCCACUCUCCUUGU
rnacentral:lncRNA from 1 species